CCUACGGGGUGCAGAAGUGAGGAAUAUUGGUCAAUGGACGAGAGUCUGAACCAGCCAAGUAGCGUGAAGGAUGACUGCCCUAUGGGUUGUAAACUUCUUUUAUAUGGGAAUAAAAUGUUCCACGUGUGGGAUUUUGUAUGUACCAUAUGAAUAAGGAUCGGCUAACUCCGUGCCAGCAGCCGCGGUAAUACGGAGGAUCCGAGCGUUAUCCGGAUUUAUUGGGUUUAAAGGGAGCGUAGGUGGAUUGUUAAGUCAGUUGUGAAAGUUUGCGGCUCAACCGUAAAAUUGCAGUUGAAACUGGCAGGCUUGAGUACAGUAGAGGUGGGCGGAAUUCGUGGUGUAGCGGUGAAAUGCUUAGAUAUCACGAAGAACUCCGAUUGCGAAGGCAGCUCACUGGACUGCAACUGACACUGAGGCUCGAAAGUGUGGGUAUCAAACAGGAUUAGAUACCCUAGUAGUC
rnacentral:rRNA from 1 species